AGAACCAUUCGGGAUGUUGAGGUAGGCUCAGUAGAUGCGAGGAGAUCCACCAUUCCUCACAUCGUCUGUCCUAACUCGCCUUCCCUUGUGCUUCAAUAUUUCUUU
rnacentral:pre_miRNA from 18 species